GACAGAGGGUGCAAACGUGUUCGGAAUUACUGGGCGUAAAGCGCGUGUAGGCGGCCCUGCAAGUCGGGUGUGAAAUCCCACGGCUCAACCGUGGAAGUGCACUCGAAACUGCAGGGCUAGAGUCCUGGAGAGGAAGGUGGAAUGCUUGGUGUAGAGGUGAAAUUCGUAGAUAUCAAGCGGAACACCGGUGGCGAAGGCGGCCUCUGGACAGUGACUGACGCUGAGACGCGAAAGCGUGGGGAGCAAACAGGG
rnacentral:rRNA from 1 species